rnacentral:sRNA from 1 species
AUUGCUAAUAAUAACACCAGUGGGGGAAACUUGAAGAAAGAGGUAUUUGUCACCAAAUGUUUUUGGGAAUAACAUUUCUUGGAAUUGGACUGUGGGCAUGGAAUGAAAAAGGAGUUCUGUCCAACAUCUCUUCCAUCACCGAUCUCGGCGGCUUUGACCCAGUUUGGCUCUUCCUUGUGGUGGGAGGAGUGAUGUUCAUUUUGGGAUUUGCAGGGUGCAUUGGAGCGCUACGGGAAAACACUUUCCUUCUCAAGUUUUUUUCUGUGUUCCUGGGAAUUAUUUUCUUCCUGGAGCUCACUGCCGGAGUUCUAGCAUUUGUUUUCAAAGACUGGAUCAAAGACCAGCUGUAUUUCUUUAUAAACAACAACAUCAGAGCAUAUCGGGAUGACAUUGAUUUGCAAAACCUCAUAGACUUCACCCAGGAAUAUUGGCAGUGCUGUGGGGCUUUUGGAGCUGAUGAUUGGAACCUAAAUAUUUACUUCAAUUGCACAGAUUCCAAUGCAAGUCGAGAGCGAUGUGGCGUUCCAUUCUCCUGCUGC